GAUGAACGCUGGCGGCGUGCCUAAUACAUGCAAGUCGAGCGAAGCGGGGACGGGUGGGUCACACGCGGAUAACCUCUUAUAAGACUGGGAUAACUUCGGGAAACCGGUGCUAACACGGAUAUUUAACGAUGGAUCCGCGCUGCAUUAGCUAGUUGGUCAGGUAACGGGUUACCAGGGCAACGAUGCAUAGCCGACCUGAGAGGGUGAUCGGCCACACUGGAACUGAGACACGGUCCAGACUCCUACGGGAGGCAGCAGUAGGGAAUCUUCCGCAAGGGGCGAAAGCCUGACGGAGAAACGCCGCGUGAGUGGUGAAGGUCUUCGGGUCGUAAAACUCUGUUAUUAGGGAAGCGGUACCUAAUCAGAAAGCCACGGCUAACUACGUGCCAGCCGCCGCGGUAAUAC
rnacentral:rRNA from 1 species